GACGAACGCUGGCGGCGUGCUUAACCCAUGCAAGUCGAACGGAGUGGCGAACGGGUGAGUAACACGUGGGUGACCUGCCCUGCACUUCGGGCUAAGCCUGGGAAACUGGGUCUAAUACCGGAUAGUUUUGGAUGGGCCCGCGGCCUAUCAGCUUGGUGGUGGAGUAAUGGCCUAACAAGGCGGCGACGGGUAGCCGGCCUUAGAGGGUGGACGGCCACAUUGGGACUGAGGCACGGCCCAGACGCCUACGGGAGGCAUCAGUGGGGAAUAUUGCACAAUGGGCGGAAGCAUGAUGCAGCGACGCCGCGUGGGGGAUGACGGCCUUCGGGUUGUAAACUCCUUUCACCAUCGACGCGGUAGAUGGAGAAGAAGCACCGGCUAACUACGUGCCAGCAGCCGCGGUAAUUC
rnacentral:rRNA from 1 species